GUGCAGCACGUAGACUAAAACUGGAACGAUAUUGAGAAGAUUAGCAUGGCCCCUGCACAAGGAUGACACACAAAUUCGUGAAGCUUAAUGCAGCAUG
rnacentral:snRNA from 1 species